rnacentral:rRNA from 1 species
CCUACGGGAGGCAGCAGUGGGGAAUAUUGCACAAUGGGGGAAACCCUGAUGCAGCCAUGCCGCGUGUGUGAAGAAGGCCUUCGGGUUGUAAAGCACUUUCAGUCAGGAGGAAAGGUGGCUAGCUAAUAUCUAGUUGCUGUGACGUUACUGACAGAAGAAGCACCGGCUAACUCCGUGCCAGCAGCCGCGGUAAU